CGGGGUGUAGCGCAGGGGUAGCGCGCGUCGUUCGGCACGACGAGACCGGAGGUUCAAAUCCGCUCACUCCGACCA
rnacentral:tRNA from 1 species